rnacentral:rRNA from 1 species
AACGAACGCUGGCGGCAUGCCUAACACAUGCAAGUCGAACGAGACCUUCGGGUCUAGUGGCGCACGGGUGCGUAACGCGUGGGAACCUGCCCUUAGGUUCGGAAUAACUCCCCGAAGGGGGUGCUAAUACCGGAUAAUGUCUUCGGACCAAAGAUUUAUCGCCUUUGGAUGGGCCCGCGUUGGAUUAGCUAGUUGGUAGGGUAAAAGCCUACCAAGGCGACGAUCCAUAGCUGGUCUGAGAGGAUGAUCAGCCACACUGGGACUGAGACACGGCCCAGACUCCUACGGGAGGCAGCAGUGGGGAAUAUUGGACAAUGGGCGAAAGCCUGAUCCAGCCAUGCCGCGUGAGUGAUGAAGGCCUUAGGGUUGUAAAGCUCUUUUACCCGGGAUGAUAAUGACAGUACCGGGAGAAUAAGCUCCGGCUAACUCCGUG